rnacentral:rRNA from 1 species
CAAUAGCGUAUAUUAAAGUUGUUGCGGUUAAAAAGCUCGUAGUUGGAUUUCUGCUGAGGACGACCGGUCCGCCCUCUGGGUGAGUAUCUGGCUCGGCCUUGGCAUCUUCUUGGGGAACGUAACUGCACUUGACUGUGUGGUGCGGUAUCCAGGACUUUUACUUUGAGGAAAUUAGAGUGUUUCAAGCAGGCGCACGCCUUGAAUACAUUAGCAUGGAAUAAUAAGAUAGGACCUUGGUUCUAUUUUGUUGGUUUCUAGAGCUGAGGUAAUGAUUAAUAGGGAUAGUUGGGGGCAUUCGUAUUUAACUGUCAGAGGUGAAAUUCCUGGAUUUGUUAAAGACGGACUACUGCGAAAGCAUUUGCCAAGGAUGUUUUCAUUGA